rfam:Homo sapiens chromosome 12, GRCh38 reference primary assembly.
GCCAGGCUUGGUGGUGCAUACCUGUAGUCUCAGCUGCUCUGGAGGCUGAGGUUGGGGGAUCACUUGAGCCCAGGAGUUUGAGGUUACAGUGAGCCGUGGUGGCGCCACUACACUCCAGCCUGGGCAACAGAGUGAGACCCUGUCUCUU